rnacentral:rRNA from 1 species
UACGUAGGGCGCAAGCGUUGUCCGGAAUUAUUGGGCGUAAAGAGCUCGUAGGCGGCUUGUCACGUCGGGUGUGAAAGCCCGGGGCUUAACCCCGGGUCUGCAUUCGAUACGGGCUAGCUAGAGUGUGGUAGGGGAGAUCGAAUUCCUGGUGUAGCGGUGAAAUGCGCAGAUAUCAGGAGGAACACCGGUGGCGAAGGCGGAUCUCUGGCCAUUACUGACGCUGAGGAGCGAAAGCGUGGGAGCGAACAGG